rnacentral:rRNA from 1 species
UACGAAGGGUGCAAGCGUUAAUCGGAAUUACUGGGCGUAAAGCGCGCGUAGGUGGUUCGUUAAGUUAGGAGUGAAAGCCCCGGGCUCAACCUGGGAAUUGCUUCUAAAACUGGCGAGCUAGAGUAUGGUAGAGGGUGGUGGAAUUUCCUGUGUAGCGGUGAAAUGCGUAGAUAUAGGAAGGAACAUCAGUGGCGAAGGCGACCACCUGGACUGAUACUGACACUGAGGUGCGAAAGCGUGGGGAGCAAACAGGAUUAGAUACCCCCCGUAGUCCCUGA